GCCUACGGGCGGCUGCAGUAAGGAAUAUUGGUCAAUGGACGAAAGUCUGAACCAGCCAUGCCGCGUGAAGGAUUAAGGCCCUCUGGGUUGUAAACUUCUUUUAUCUGGGACGAAAAAAGGGUAUUCUUACUCACUUGACGGUACCAGAGGAAUAAGCACCGGCUAACUCCGUGCCAGCAGCCGCGGUAAUACGGAGGGUGCAAGCGUUAUCCGGAUUCACUGGGUUUAAAGGGUGCGUAGGUGGAUAUUUAAGUCAGUGGUGAAAUCUCCGAGCUUAACUCGGAAACUGCCAUUGAUACUAUUUAUCUUGAAUGCCCUGGAGGUAAGCGGAAUAUGUCAUGUAGCGGUGAAAUGCUUAGAUAUGACAUAGAACACCAAUUGCGAAGGCAGCUUACUACGGGGUGAUUGACACUGAGGCACGAAAGCGUGGGGAUCAAACAGGAUUAGAUACCCCUGUAGUCGUC
rnacentral:rRNA from 1 species